rnacentral:rRNA from 1 species
GACGGAGGAUGCAAGCGUUAUCCGGAAUGAUUGGGCGUAAAGCGUCUGCAGGUGGCAGUUCAAGUCUGCUGUCAAAGACCGGGGCUUAACUUCGGAAAGGCAGUGGAAACUGAACAGCUAGAGUAUGGUAGGGGCAGAGGGAAUUCCUGGUGUAGCGGUGAAAUGCGUAGAUAUCUGGAGGAACACCGGUGGCGAAGGCGGCAUCCUGGACCGACACUGACGCUGAGGAGCGAAAGCCAGGGGAGCAAACGGG